GCUGGGCAUGGUGGCGCGUGCCUGUAAUCCCAGCUACUCAGGAGGCUGAGGCGGGAGAAUUGCUUGAACCCAGGAGGCGGAGGUUGCAGUGAGCUGAGAUCUCACCAUUGCACUCCAGCCUGGGUAACAAGAGCGAAACUCCGUCUCAA
rnacentral:sRNA from 1 species